rnacentral:lncRNA from 1 species
GAAGCUCAAGGGAAAAUUUUAUAGGACGGCAAUAAGGCCGGCGAUGCUGUAUGGCACAGAAUGUUGGGCGGUGAAACAUCAACACGUACACAAAAUGGGUGUAGCGGAGAUGAGGAUGCUUCGUUGGAUGUGUGGGCACACGAGAAAGGAAAAGAUUAGGAAUGAGGAUAUCCGGGGUAAAGUAGGAGUAGCCGAAAUUGAAGGAAAGAUGAGAGAAAAUCGGUUACGGUGGUUUGGACAUGUGCAAAGAAGGCCUACUGACGCUCCGAUUAGAAGAUGCGACUAUGGGACAGAGGUUCAGGGCCGAAGGGGUAGAGGAAGACCUAGGAAAACUUUGGAAGAGACUCUAAGAAAAGACUUAGAGUACUUGGAUCUAACGAAGGACAUGACACAGGAUCGAGCACAAUGGCGUUCUAAGAUUCAUAUAGCCGAUCCCACUCAGUGACUUGGAUUUUCCAAGUCUCCAACCGAGAAGUUUUCCUCACUCGGAAAAUUAAGGGAACACUACCCCAACCUACAUGCUCCACUCAGAAAGCUUCAACAUACAAGCUUCAACAAAAGAAAAUUCAAAGAACUUAGCGAAGAAGGCUUUGGUGUAUUUAACACAAUACGUUGAAAUGAAGGAAAGCUUAUUUAUUGAUAUCCCCGAUAAGCUACAAAUAUGUACAUAUACAUGAGUCAAAAUAAACACACACAAGAGGGAGCCUUCACAAAGGUUGCUUAGGAGAAGUCUCAGCAGUCGGUAGAGCCCUAGAAAGAGAAGGCACCGGAGGGGGAUCAUUUGGAGCCUCAGUACUGGACAGAACCCUAGAAGGAGGAGGCAUCAGAGGUUGAUCAUUUGGAGCUUCAUUACGCGGUACAGCCCCAGAAGACGAAGGCAAUAAAUGCCUUUGGAACAAACCCACAAAUCUCUGAUGAUCAAGUAAAACCUGACCAUCAGUUUCCUUCAUCUGGUCAAGCUUCCUCUUCAUGUUUGUAGCAUAGUCAUGUGCGAGCCGGUGCAACUGUUUAUUCUCAUGCUUGAGCCCUCUAAUCUCCUGUUUGAGACUCAUCACUUCAGCCGCCAAUGAUUCAACUUGGCGGGUUCGAGCAAAUAGGCGUUGGGCCAUAUUAGACACAGAACCUGCACACUGAACACUGAGAGCCAGCGAAUCCUUAACAGCUAACUCAUCAGACCGUUUGGAAAGUAGUCUGUUAUCUUUGGGAGUGAGAAGGUUCCUGGCCACCACCGCAGCGGUCAUAUCAUUCUUCAUCACGGAAUCCCCAACGGUAAGAGGACCAGUAGGGGAGACGAAGGAUGGGCGCCAUAUGUUGUCUGGAGAAGGCGGGGCUGCCUCUUCAACAAGGUUCAAGUCAAAACGACGGUCGGAGGGGCCAGACAUUUUCAAAGGUGUUGAAGAGAGAAGAGGUCGGACAAAUCAAGAUCUUAGAAGUGCAAGAAUGAUGAAGCUUCUACUGGUGGAGAUUCAAGUGUGCUUUGGAACUUAAUGCCAGCCCCUAUAAAAAUCUGCACUCGACGGAGCUUCAGAAAUCGAAGAGGCGCCUGCUCAGAAAUCGAAGAGGCGUUUGCUUUCUCAAAAGCUGGGCUGCUUAGAGAUCACGAGGAUUGAUCUCAGAAAUCGAAGAGGCGUUUGCUUUCUCAAAAGUUGGGCUGCUCAAAGACCUCAAAGGCUGAUCUCAGAAAUCGAAGAGGCGCUUGCUUUCUCAAAAGCUGGGCUCCCCAGAGACCACGAGGGCCGAUCUCAGAAAUCGAAGAGGCACCUACUUUUCCAGCCUUGUCAGCACCUGUCACACGCACACUCAGCUUUGCGGAAAUUAUGGGCAUUAUGUCGAAGACUUCUGGGGAAGUAGAAAACACAUGAAUCUUACUGUUCAAUCACCCACUUCCCACACGCAACAAUAGCUCAUGGGUACCACAGAUAACUUUGCCAAAGUUCUCUGCCAAAGUUGAGCACGUGAAGCUUGCAGCUCCCACUACAUCGCUCUGACCAAGAAGGGUAAAAGAAUAGCAAAGAAACAGCACUAACAAAGUUUAGACCCAUAAAUUUUGAAGGUCUAGCUACCAUAUUAUUACCCACAAGGGUAAAGGAAUAGUACCACUGCUGGAUAAUUGGAAAGUCUCUGUGUGUCAACCUCUGUGCUUCGUGGCAAGGUAGACUAGCAAACAUGCCCAACCUUUACUCACAUUCGAGAAAACACUCCCAAUAAGAUUGUUUGCUCCAAAAUCGAAGAGGCACCGUCCUCCGAAUCUCGAGAGCCAGACUCCCAACAUGACUAAAAGGUCGUACCCAGUGCACAAGACUCCCACAUGACUACUUUCUUAAAAAUCGAAAGAGAGGGUAAAGGAAUAGUACCAUUGCUGGAUAAUUAGAAAGUCCCUGUGUGUCAACCUCUGUGCUUCGUGGCAAGGUAGACUAGCAAACAUGCCCAACCUUUACUCACAUUCGAGAAAAUACUCCCAACAAGAUUGCUUGCUCCAAAAUCGAAGAGGCACCGCCCUCCGAAUCUCGAGAGCCAGACUCCCAACAUGAUUACUUUCUCACAAAUCGAAGAGACACUGCUCCCCGAAUCUUCGAGAGCCAGACCCCCAGCAUGAUUGCUUUUCUCAAAAAUCGAUGAGGCAUCGUUCUCCGAAUCAAUCGAAGAGGCGCUCGCUUUCUCAAAAGCUGGGCUGCUUAGAGACCACGAGGGCCGAUCUCAGAAAUCGAAGAGGCACCUACUUUUCUAGCCUUGUCAGCACCUGUCACAUGCACACUCAGCUUUGCAGAAAUUAUGGGCAUUCUGUCGAAGACUUCUGGUGAAGUAGAAAGCACAUGAAUCUUACUGUUCAAUCACCCACUUCUCACACGCAACAAUAGCUCAUGGGUACCACAGAUAACUUUGCCAAAGUUCUCUGCCAAAGUUGAGCACGUGAAGCUUGCAACUCCCACUACAUCGCUCUGACCAAGAAAGGUAAAAGAAUAGCAAAGAAACAGCACUAACAAAGUUUAGACACAUAAAUUUUGAAGGUCUAGCUACCAUAUUAUUACCCACAAGGGUAAAGGAACAGUACCACUGCUGGAUAAUUGGAAAGUCCCUGUUUGUCAACCUAUGUGCUUCGUGGCAAGGUAGACUAGCAAACAUGCCCAACCUUUACUCACAUUCGAGAAAACACUCCCAACAAGAUUGCUUGCUCCAAAAUCGAAAGAGACACCGUCCUCCGAAUCUCGAGAGCCAGACUCCCAACAUGACUACUUUCUCAAAAUCGAAGAGAGGGUAAAGGAACAGUACCAUUGCUGGAUAAUUGGAAAGUCCCUGUGUGUCAACCUUUGUGCUUCGUGGCAAGGUAGACUAGCAAACAUGCCCAACCUUUACUCACAUUCGAGACAACACUCCCAACAGAUUGCUUGCUCCAAAAUCGAAAGAGGCACCGCCCUCCGAAUCUCGAGAGCCAAACUCCCAACAUGAUUACUUUCUCAAAAAUCGAAGAGACACUGCUAUCCGAAUCUCGAGAGCCAGACCCCCAGCAUGAUUGCUUUCUCAAAAAUCGAAGAGGCAUCGUUCUCCGAAUCUCGAGAGCCAGAUACCACAGACCACUUUUUCAAAGUGCUCUGACAGAGUUAAAACAUGUGAAACUGGCAGCUCCCACUACCGUGCUAUGACCAAGCAGGGUAAAGGAAUAACAUUACUACUUCUUAGGGAGACUCCUAUAUAUGUCGACCUCCAUCCCCAACAGACAGGCAGACCUGCAAAAAUGCUCAACCCUUCAUCAUAUCUGAGAGGGCACUCCCAACGAAGCCUUUCGAAAUAUUCAGCUUUCCUUCCCCCCGAUAAUACCUCUGCAAACAAGCUAUACUAGAGCAAGAAUAUCUCAUAUCAUCAGGGUUAAAAGCAAGAGUAUCCCAUAUCAUGCUUUUUCCCUGUCUUUUCCUUUGGCCUUGUUUUUACCUGCAAGACAAGGAGAAAGAGAGCAAUCAGUCAGCACUUGGAAUCAAGCUUCCAGCCAGGAACUGACUGCCUGGAACCCCUUACCUGAUUACUUACCUGGCAUUGCUCUCGAGUACUCAUCUUCAACAUCUUAUAUUUCCAGGGAAGAUUCCGCAUCUGCUUGAGGAACAGAUAGGGCAAGUGCGAAGGAUACAAGGAAGCAUGUGGAGACAAGCGUAACAGCACACGUGCCGAUACAUCCAUUACUCUGUCAAAAGCAAAAGUAUCCCAUAUCAGCAGGGUGGAACGUACUCUAGAUUUGAUGGACUUGUUUUGACCCUCAAAUUCUUCAGUCGGCCUUAUACUCUGGAGGAAACCAGAAAACCCUCCAGCUCAGUUCAAGAAUAAGCCUGUGGAAAGUUACUUCUUCAAAAGCAAAAGUAUCUCAUAUCAUCUCUUCUCAUUUUUUCUUCUCUUUAUCCUUCAUGCUGCUGCUGCAAGAUGGGGAGAAGGUGAACAAUCAGUCGGAGCUCUGAUUGCUUACCUUGUCUGUCACCUCUUUCAGCAGACCCCCUAGCUCGGCGACUUGGGGGACUCCUACUACAUGGUUUGUAUCGCGCUUGACCAAGCCUGAAACUACAAGUAAGCUUCAAGUGAAAUUGAUACAUUACCUUGUGCAUCUCCACCAGUUAAAGAUACCACCCCUGGAUGGAGGAAGAGUACUUCCAGAGAAGAUGCCACAUCUACCUAUGAGACAGAUAAGGCAAGUCAAGACGACACCACACUCCGAUACUUAGAAGUUUCGUGAUUAUGAGAUCAUUCUCCCACAAUAUUUCCUAAUGUCAUUUGUACUAAAUCAUUCACUUGUACUCACUAAAGGAGAGCUUGAACCUAUGUACUUGUGUAAACCCUUCACAAUUAAUGAGAACUCUUCUAUUCCGUGGACGUAGCCAAUCUGGGUGAACCACGUACAUCUUGUGUUUGCUUUCCUAUCUCUAUCCAUUUAUAUACUUAUCCACGCUAAUGACCGGAGCAAUCUAGCGAAGAUCACAAAAAGCGACCGUUUUCGCUACCUAGGAUCUAUCUUGCAAGAGAACGGAGAAUGAGAUGGAGAUCUCAACCAUAGAAUACGAGCUGGAUGGAUGAAGUGUAAGAAUGCAUCCGGCGUGUUGUGUGACCGUCGUAGGCCACUGAAGCUCAAGGGAAAAUUUUAUAGGACGGCAAUAAGGCCAGCGAUGUUGUAUGGCACAGAAUGUUGGGCGGUGAAGCAUCAACACGUACACACAAAAUGGGGUGUAGCGGAGAUGAGGAUGAUGCUUCGUGGGAUGUGUGGGCACACGAGAAAGGAUAAGAUUGGGAAUGAGGAUAUCCGAGGUAAAGUAGGAGUAGCCGAAAUUGUAGGAAAGAUGAGAGAAAAUCGGCUCCGGUGAUUUGGACAUGUGCAAAGAAGGCCGAAUGACGCUCCGGUUCGAAGAUGUGACUACGGGACAGAGGUUCAGGGCCGAAGGGGUAGAGGAAGACCUAGGAAAACUUUGGAAGAG